AGUGACAGGCAAUGAAAGAUACUUCUUAGAAAAUGUUGAUUCAUCUGGAAUAAAGCACUGCUAUGAGGUAAUACUGAAGGUGUGGUAGAGAAAGAGAAGCUAUGGAUAAUUUCUGCCCUUCAUUAAAACUUUCCAACAGAUAUUGUUGAAAGUUUCUAUAUUAUGUGUGAUAUUUUACAUCAUUCCAUCUUUUAUAUAUUACUGGAUAUUUUGGAAUUUGGGAAUAAAACAGAUACCUCUAUCACAUUUUUUUCAGCAUGGAAGUUUGGCUUGAACAUUAGAAGAAAUAUGUGCAUCUAGACCAGCUUUUGCUUCUUAAAGGCUGAGAGUGAUGAGGAAUCGAAAGGUAACAUAGACUCUGAUCAGAUGACAGACUGCAUCCGACACUUCUGUCUGCA